GUCUGGUUCCUGGCCCUAAGGUAGCUAGGGCAAGAGAACAGUGGCCCAGAGUGUGAGAGCCCCAUAGAGGAGGGGGUUGUGGGUGUGUGGUUGGGAUUGGUUGGUUUGCUUGUGUGAGUUCUUGUGGGAAACUUGUUUGCUGUUUGGGGGAACUGGCUAACCCUGAGAGGGACUCAACCAGCAAAACCAGUAAGUACUCACUGUUCAUCAAAAAAAAAUGCUUCAUCUCUUUGAGCUUCAGAUGCCUCAUUAAAACUAGGGAAAUAAUGCUGACAGCUGACUUCUCAAAAAGAACCUCAGGAAAGUAUACUAGAAGGUAGGGUGCCCACUACCUGCACAGUCUCAGAAGGUAGGAGUAGAAAGAAGGGUAUUGACAGGGCUUUCUCUUCUGAGCUGUGUGAUUUUAAGGCAGCUCUUGAAAGACUGGACCUUUUGAUCAGUGUGCACUGUCAGGCUAGGGUCUUAGAGUGAGUAAUGAUUAGCAAGCUUUUGGUCUUGAUAAGAAAACAGGGCAGCAGCUUUGUUUUCCAGCAGGAAGUAUUUCCUAGAGCAAGCAACUAAAUUAUUUUUCCUAGUUUCAGUAUUGUUUAGCACAGAAACAGGAAGUAUGCUAGUUUCAAUAAUAAUAAUAAUAAUAAUAAUAAUAAUAAUAUUUACUCAUAGGAUUAUUAGGAAAGUCAGGUGAAAUUAUGUAGGAAAUGUGCUUAGCAGAGUCUCUGCUUAAUAAACGUAGCUAUUAAUUAGGGUGAGGCAGCAAAUAACCAGAGCAGAAUGUGAUGAAGCCAUUUGGGUAGGGUGAUCCAUUAUCCUGGUUUAUCUGAGAUUGGAGGUGUUUUGGGAUGGGGAAUUUCAGUGCUAAAACCAGGAAAAUCCCAGGCAAAUGAUGUCAAGUUGGUUAAUCUCGGUUCAAGACAGGAAAACCCAAUUGUUGCACAUAAAUUUUUUGGAAUUUAACUUGGAUUUUUUCUUUUAAGCAUCAGAAAUGUCUAAUAAUGUUUGUGAGUCCCAGAAUAGAACAUGUGGUCCUUAGGGAGUAGGGAGUAAGGUUUCCCAAGUAGCAGAGGCCCUAUCCUGCGGCAGGUGUUUGCUAGAAUCCUGCACUGGGGCCUUUGCUGAGGGUGCUGAGAUAUCCCUUUGGAAGCAUCUCGAAGGCUGCAUUGGAAAUAAAUAAGCCCCGGGAGGAUCACACUGCAGGUGAAACCUGAGACCCUAAGCCAGCCAGAAUCACCUUGGUAUGACAAGCAGAGCUCUGCCUCUUUCUCUCAUUUCUCUCUUCUGUUCAAAGAAAAAACUGAACUGGAAUGAAGAAGCACCCAAAACUGGGGUUAAAAACUAGAUAUUUUGGGUUCAAAGUGAGGUUUUUCUGUCCCUCUUUUUGCACAUAUGGAGCCCAACACUGCUUAGUGAGCUGCUUCUUGCCAAAUGCUUGGACAGCACCAGCCCAUUUAGUUCUCACCAGUGCCCUGCAAGAAGUGUACUAUUACCUUCACAUUACACACCAGGAAAUUAAGGUUGGGAGAGGUUAAGGGACUUGCAAAAGGUCACGGAGCUAUGAAGGGAUGGGGAGCUGGGAUUCAAAUUUGGGUUUGUAAGGAGAGAAGAGACGUCUUUCUUCUCAGCCUAGUAAGUGUGGGAGAUCAACCGCAGGGUGAUCGGAUCUCCAAGAUGAAUGAGUCAACAGGACUUUCAAAGCACUAUCUGAAGGUAAACAAGUCAGUAUCAUCUCUCCUUAGGGUCUGUGAGUUACUUUUGCUCUCUUGAGGGAGAAACUGAAAUCUACACCGAAUUGAGCGAAUUGAGCCCAAAGCAGGGGCUCAAGUUUCUCUCAGCCUUCCUUUGCUUACAGCCCUGAGGGGAUCCUGGCUGGGUGCUAUUUCCAGGAGGGUCUCUCCCUCAGCAGGGAAAGGAGAGCAGGAUUUGCAGAAGCUCCAGUUGGAGACAGAGCCCUGGGGGCGGGGGUUGGUGGAUAGGGGUAGGCACUUGGCUUAAGCCAGAUCUGAACUGUUUCCUUCUAUCCUGCUCCUGGGGCAGGAGGCCCCCUGCAAGGCCCUAACUAUACUGAUCUUAUCUCCUCCUGGGGAAUUUUCCCACAGGGAGGCAGGAAAGGUCAGCAGUGUGUCCUGAGAGCCCUAAGGCAGGCCCACCCACUUCUACCACAUGAGUGCUUUGGGAGAGGUACUGGAGGCCACACCUGUAAACCCAAUAGGUCCUUUUAAUACAUACCAGGGAGCUGCAACUGGGGGAUGCCACCGUGGUGCUGGGCCUGCAAGGGAGCCCCCAGGAGACUCUAUUAAGCUCCCAUUUGACAAGUUUUAAAACUGGCCCAACCCAGGCAUGUGCACAGGAUCAGAAGCCCCAUCUCUCUAAAUUACUAGGUUGAAAUGCCACAUCUUAACGACUCAUGCACCGUCCACACUACUGCUGCGGUAUCUGUGUCCCACCAGGGCUGUGUUUGAUUUUUUAAAUGAACUCGAUUUGUUUUAUUGUUUUGUAAUUUGAACAUGUAGAGAUGGAGGUAAAUAGAAAACCGGCAUCUGUGUAUUACACAUAGAAAGUCACCAUAAAAAUAAACACAAUGAAUACUCUUCAGCAAAGGGAAUGAAAAAUCUACAACUACAUACCACUGAACACAAAUGGAAAUCACCAACAGGUUGAGGGAGAGAAGCUGAGCCCAGGUGAGUCCAUUUAAAUGACUGAUGGAAAACUAAACGCAGGCAAAAUUAUCUUCUGUUGGGAGUUAGGAGAGUGGCUGCCCUUCUGGAAGGAGGGAUAGAGAGUGGAAAGGGAUGGGGGAGGGGCUUCCCGGAGCCCAGAAAAAUUCUGUUUUGUGAAUUCAAAAUUAGCAAAUUCUGUUUCUCCAUCUGGGUGCUGGUUUCACAGGUUGUUCAGUUUGUGAUGAUUCACUCCGUUUUACAUCCAGUUAACAUCACGGAUGGUGCUAAACUUCAAAAUAAAAAAAAAUUAAAAGUUAAGUAGAAGGGAGUUAACACACUACGGUGCGUAUUAAAUUCUGGCCAGAAACCAGGGUCAGUUUAGGGCCUGAGGUCUGCUCUCCUCUUUUAAGAAAAGGCUGAACAGGUGCGCAGCAGGGGUCAAAGCCUGUGCUGGCCACGUUUUCUGCUCCUCCUCCUCCUCAGGUUUGGAGGGGCAUUGGAAAGGAAAUGACUUUCUCACUGUGCAAUGCCAGGCUUUGUUCAAGCAUUUGGGAAAACAAUGAGGAGGCAGCUUAUUCCCAGCUCCAGGCAGGAGGAGACCUGCAGAGGGUGAGAUUCUCAGGGGAGGAACUGCCAGAAGCCUAAGAGCCUUUUUCCAGAGCUGCCUCCAGGAGAGAAGGUGAUCUACCUGGCUCCGGAUCAAGUCCUUUCUGCUCAGAACAAGCUUUCUGCACUUGUAGGGUGGGUGAUUUUAGAGAUUUGGAGAGUCAAUCUUUGCUUCUUUCCUUUUUUCUCUCUCUCCUUCCCAGUCCCACCCACUCUAAUCCCAGCUCCUGUUUGUCCAAGCCCCUCAAGCAAGACUCUCUUUAGUGAGUGAAAGCUGACAAUGUGAGUCUCAGCCUCCUUCCCAGGAGCAGCUAAGCUGACAGAUCCUUGAUCUUGAGAAGCCCUCGCAGCUCC
rnacentral:lncRNA from 1 species